AUUCCAGCUCCAAUAGCGUAUAUUAAAGUUGUUGCGGUUAAAAAGCUCGUAGUUGGAUUUCUGCCGAGGAUGACCGGUCCGCCCUGUGGGUGUGCAUCUGGCUCAGCCUUGGCAUCUUCCUGAAGAACGUAGCUGCACUUGACUGUGUGGUGCGGUAUUUAGGACAUUUACUUUGAGGAAAUUAGAGUGUUUCAAGCAAGCGCACGCUUUGAAUACAUUAGCAUGGAAUAAUAAGAUAUGACCUCGGUUCUAUUUUGUUGGUUUCUAGAGCUGAGGUAAUGAUCAAUAGGGACAGUCGGGGGCAUUAGUAUUCAGGCGACAGAGGUGAAAUUCUUGGACCGCCUGAAGACUCACUACUGCGAAAGCAUUUGCCAAGAAUGUUUUCAUCG
rnacentral:rRNA from 1 species